GUGAGGAAUAUUGGUCAAUGGACGGAAGUCUGAACCAGCCAUGCCGCGUGCAGGAAUAAGGUCCUAUGGAUUGUAAACUGCUUUUAUUCGGGAAUAAACCUCUUUACGUGUAGGGAGCUGAAGGUACCGAAGGAAUAAGCACCGGCUAACUCCGUGCCAGCAGCCGCGGUAAUACGGAGGGUGCAAGCGUUAUCCGGAAUCAUUGGGUUUAAAGGGUCCGCAGGCGGGCUAUCAAGUCAGAGGUGAAAUCCCACAGCUUAACGGUGGAACUGCCUUUGAAACUGAUGGUCUUGAAUUAAGUGGGCGUUGGCGGAAUAUGACAUGUAGCGGUGAAAUGCAUAGAUAUGUCAUGGAACACCAAAAGCGAAGGCAGCUAACGAUACUUAUAUUGACGCUCAUGGACGAAAGCGUGGGUAGCGAACAGGAUUAGAAACCCCAGUAGUCC
rnacentral:rRNA from 1 species